GUACUUGGUGCUCGUUUUAGGUUCCCUGGAGGGGCAGGAGCAGCGGCGGCCAGGAGGGUCCGCGGCUCAGCGCAGGGGGCCGAGGCCCGGAGGGCGGCCCCUCGCCGUCAGCGCUGCGACCGGGACGUCCACCUGCCGGCCCCCCGAGCCCCCGUGGGGUCCCCCGUGGGCCCCCGGGACCGCGGACAGCGCUGCCCGAGCCUCCCUGGCCGCCCGCCGGCCUCCCCGCGUCCCCAGGUUCCAUUCUGUUACAGGCCAUUGCAGAGUACUGUGUAGAGUUCCCUGUGCCAGACGAGUUACACUGUUACAAUCAAAGAUCUUAUACAGAAGUACAUAUCUGAUCAACUGCUUCAAGUCACCUGCUGCUGCUGCUGCUAAGUCGCUUCAGUUGUGUCCGACUCCGUGCGACCCCAUAGACGGCAGCCCACCAGGCCCUGCCGUCCCUGGGAUUCUCCAGACAAGAACACUGGAGUGGAUUGCCAUUUCCUUCUCCAGUGCAUG
ensembl:lncRNA